AACGAACGCUGGCGGCGUGCCUAACACAUGCAAGUCGAACGUGAUUGGGGAGCUUGCUCCCCAUGAAAGUGGCGCACGGGUAAGUAACGCGUAGAUAAUCUACCUGAUGGUCCGGGAUAACACUUCGAAAGGGGUGCUAAUACCGGAUAAGCCCACGAGGUCUUUGGACCAUGCGGGAAAAGGGGGGGACCUUUUAGGCCUUCCGUCAUCAGAUGAGUCUGCGUACCAUUAGCUAGUUGGGAGGGUAAAGGCCUACCAAGGCGACGAUGGUUAGCUGGUCUGAGCGGGUGAUCAGCCACACUGGAACUGAGAAACGGUCCAGACUCCUACGGGAGGCAGCAGUGGGGAAUUUUGCGCAAUGGGGGAAACCCUGACGCAGCAACGCCGCGUGAGUGAUGAAGGCUCUUGGGUCUUAAAGCUCUGACAGAGGGAAAGAAAUGCAUGGUGGCUAAUAUCCAUUGUGCUUGACGGUACCCUCAAAGGAAGCACCGGCUAACUCCGUGCCAGCCGCCGCCGUAAUAC
rnacentral:rRNA from 1 species